rnacentral:lncRNA from 9 species
AUGAGGCCUCAUCACCUGUGUGUAACUGACCUUCUUACCAACCCUCUUUCUCUAAAGGGACCUCUCUGUACUCCUUGCCUUGCCGGUACAUCUACCAUACUGCCACUGCUGUCAGGAACUGUUCCACCUCUGAGAUCAGUAGCCAAGGGAUUUCACAUGCGAAAAAAAUUUUCUUUUCCUGCAGAACUGCUUUAUCCUCACCAGACCUGCUCUUCAACCUCCGUGAAAUCCGCUGUUAACAGUCUCCUGGUUCUACAUCAGUGCCCUCCGGUUUUGCUUCCCCCCCUUUCUACCCCGGACUCCGUGGUGAUUUAUUUUUUUUUAAGUUUAUUUUAUUUUGUUUGCAUCUUAGGGCUGCACCCGAGGCAUUUGGAGGCUCCCAGGCUAGGGGUCAAAUCUGAGCUACAGCUGCCGGCCUACACCCCAGCUCCCAACAACACCGGAUCCUCAAACCACUGAGCGAGGCCAGGGAUCGAACCCACAUCCUCAUGGAUCCCAGCUGGGUUCGUUAACCACUGAGCCACGAUGGGAACUCUUCCGCGAUGAUUUCUUGCAGACUCAUUCUCAUCAGCACCUUCAGGUCCCUUCAGCCGUCUCUGUCCUUCCACACAGACCCUAAAACAGCCCCCAACCGUAGAUCCGUCUCUUCCUUAUAUUCCUCCCCAUGAUGAUACGUCCUUUAACUAUUAGUGCAUAAUACAUUAUCCCCAACCUUCGUGACUUAAAACAACUACAUAUUUUAAUUUCACCGUUUUUGCAGUUUCUAUGGGAAUCAGGAGUGGCUUAGGUGGUUGGCUUGGGCUCUAAGCGGCUGCAGUCAUCUGAAGGCUGACUGGGGCUGGAGGAUCAGCUUCCAAGGUAGGUGGGUCGCUCACACUGGCAAGUUAGUGAGGCAGGACGUCACAUAUGGACUUUCUUAUGAGGCUAUAGGAGCAUCCUUGUGACAUGGUAGCUGGCUCAAACAAUUUAUUUUGCUCACAAAUCUCCAGUUUGGGGAGGGUUUAGUGGGCACAGCUCAUCUCUACUCCUCGGGACAUGACUUGGAGCACCUUGAAGUCUAGGACCUGCAGUCAUCUGAGGGCUCAUUCAUUCAGAUGAUUAGCAAUGGGUGUUGAUUGUUGCCUGGAAUCUUUGCUGGGAUUAUCAGUGAGAACGUCUUCAUGUGGCAUCUCCAUGUGGCCAGAUUCCUAGGGGGAGGGACUGGAGAGAAAGAAACAAGAGGAAACUAUCAUUUUUUUUUAAGUUCUUCCUUUCUUUCUUUCUUUCUUUUAUUUUUUGGCUGUACCUGCAGCAUGCAGGUUCCUGGGCCAGGAGUCGAAUCUGAGCCAUAGUAUCCGUGACCUACCCACAGCCGUGGCAAUGCUGGAUCCUUUACCCGCUGCACCAGUGGGUAAAGGAUUGAACCCACGGGGGUUGAACCUGUGCCACCACAAACAAACGCCAAAUCAUUAACCUGCUGUGUCGCAUUGGGAAUGCCUAAGAAGGUUUUGUUUGGGGGUUUUGUGAGGGGGGGGGUGGCCACGCCCACAGCAUGUGGAAGUUUCCAGGCCAGAAACAAACCCUGCCAAAGCAGUGACCCCAGACACUGCAGUGACAACGCUGGAUCCUUAACCUACUUUGCUACAGUGAGAACUCUUUUUUUUUUUUUUUUUUGGCUUUUUAGGGCCACACCUGCGGCAUAUGGAAGUUCCCAGGCUAGAGGUCCAAUCGGAGCUAUAGCCACUGGCCUACACCACAGACACAGCAAAGCGGGAUCCGAGCUACAUCUGUGACCACCACAGCUCACAGCAACGCCAGAUUCCUAACCCACUGAGCGAGUCCAGGAAUUGAAUCUGUGUCCUCAUGGAUGCUAGUCAGAUUCGUUUCCGCUGAGCCAUGGUGGGAACUCCCUGCAGUGGGAACUCUUGAAACUAUAUCAUUUUAAUGAUGAAGCUAUGGAAGUCAGCAUUAUUUCUGCCAUACUCUUUAUUGGAACAGUCAAGCCCACCCAGGUUUAAGGGGAAGGGACAUAGAUUCCUUUCUUUAGGGAAGAGUAGGGUUCUGAAAGAACGUGUGGAAGCAGCAAUAUUGCUACGGCCAUUUUCAGGAAAUGUGCUCUCUCUACAACAAAUUGUAUGCCUCUCACGUGCCAAACACACUCAUCCCUUCCCCCCAGAACCCAGAGUCUUCUCAUUACGACAGCAGGCCUGGCUGCUCAGAGGCUAGGAGGUUGCCGUCAUACUGUGAAGUUCCACGUAUGUAGAGUUCAGAAGCCACCAAAUAUUAUCUAUUAGUUGUAGAAGUCUGAAAAGUAAAUACCUCUAGGGGAGCAGCUGCUUGAAUGGAACAUGUAGGAAGCUAUAACCGUUCUAUAGCUUGGUCUGGGUAGGGAGUAUAUGAGUCUCUACACACAUAAAAGUUUACCAAGCUGUACAAGUACAACUGUGUCCUUUAACCUCCAGGAAUAUGCUUUUGAUAAGUGGAAGAAGCAUGUACGUGCAAACUGGUUUUUAAAUAAUAGUAAUAAUGAAAGAAAACAUGCCAAAACAAUAAC